rnacentral:rRNA from 1 species
GAUGAACGCUGGCGGCGUGCCUAAUACAUGCCAGUCGAGCGAACGGACGAGAAGCUUGCUUCUCUGCUGUUAGCGGCGGACGGGUGAGUAACACGUGGAUAACCUACCUAUAAGACUGGGAUAACUUCGGGAAACCGGAGCUAAUACCGGAUAAUAUUUUGAACUGCAUGGUUCAAAAGUGAAAGACGGUCUUGCUGUCACUUAUAGAUGGAUCCGCGCUGCAUUAGCUAGUUGGUAAGGUAACGGCUUACCAAGGCAACGAUGCAUAGCCGACCUGAGAGGGUGAUCGGCCACACUGGAACUGAGACACGGUCCAGACUCCUACGGGAGGCAGCAGUAGGGAAUCUUCCGCAAUGGGCGAAAGCCUGACGGAGCAACGCCGCGUGAGUGAUGAAGGUCUUCGGAUCGUAAAACUCUGUUAUUAGGGAAGAACAUAUGUGUAAGUAACUGUGCACAUCUUGACGGUACCUAAUCAGAAAGCCACGGCUAACUACGUG